AAGUCGUAACAAGGUUUCCGUAGGUGAACCUGCGGAAGGAUCAUUACAGAGUUCAUGCCCUCACGGGUAGAUCUCCCACCCUUGAAUACUAUACCUUUGUUGCUUUGGCGGGCCGCCUUAGCUACUGGCUCCGGCUGGUAAGUGCCCGCCAAAGGACCCCAAAACUCUGAAUAUUAGUGUCGUCUGAGUAAUAUAUAAUAGUUAAAACUUUCAACAACGGAUCUCUUGGUUCUGGCAUCGAUGAAGAACGCAGCGAAGUGCGAUAAGUAAUGUGAAUUGCAGAAUUCAGUGAAUCAUCGAAUCUUUGAACGCACAUUGCGCCCCUUGGUAUUCCGAGGGGCAUGCCCGUUCGAGCGUCAUUAUAACCCCUCAAGCCUAGCUUGGUGUUGGGGCCUGCUGUUACCGGCAGCCCUUAAAAUCAGUGGCGGUGCCAUCUGGCUCUAAGCGUAGUAAUACUUCUCGCUACAGGGUCCCGGUGGAUGCUUGCCAUCAACCCCUAAUUUUCUAUGGUUGACCUCGGAUCGGGUAGGGAUACCCGCUGAACUUA
rnacentral:rRNA from 1 species